rnacentral:rRNA from 1 species
AUUGAACGCUGGCGGUAUGCUUAACACAUGCAAGUCGAACGGCAGCACAGUAUGUAGCAAUACAUAUGGGUGGCGAGUGGCGGACGGGUGAGUAACGCGUAGGAAUCUACCCUAAAGCGGGGGACAACCCGAGGAAACUCGGGCUAAUACCGCAUAAUCUCGAAAGAGUAAAGCUGGGGCAACCUGACACUUUAGGAGGAGCCUGCGUCCGAUUAGCUAGUUGGGGAGGUAAAGGCUCACCGAGGCGAUGAUCGGUAGCUGGUCUGAGAGGAUGAUCAGCCACACUGGGACUGAGACACGGCCCAGACUCCUACGGGAGGCAGCAGUGGGGAAUAUUGGACAAUGGGGGCAACCCUGAUCCAGCAAUACCGCGUGUGUGAAGAAGGCCUUAGGGUUGUAAAGCACUUUAGUUGGGGAAGAAGGAUAGUUGUUUAAGAGAUGAUUAUUUUGACGGUACCCAAAGAAUAAGCACCGGCUAACUCUGUGCCAGCCGCCGCAGUAA